rnacentral:misc_RNA from 1 species
UGGUUAAAAGAGUCUCGGGGAUAUUUUGAUAAUGACUUGACUUCUGCCGACUGAAGCCGUGGCAGGCAAAUAAGCGAAUUAUUUAAACGAAACGUAUAUAUUAAAUAUACAUAAAAUUAACGAGCGCAGUUACGGUUACAAGAGAAUAUUAGAGAAAAGAAAAAAAAAAUAGUUAACGGCGUAAAUAUAGUUGAGAAAAAAAUCUACGAAGAGGAGCACCACCCCAUUGUCCGUACGGAGAGGAUUUGACCCGCUUAGUUGAAAUCGAACAAUUAUUUAUUUAACGGUGUUUCGUGUUGGUGUGUGUUAGAUAAUUUGCCACCAGUGGGGAUUCGUUUGUUCUUUUACCAUCGAAAAUUUUGGAUCGUGAUUUAAUCCAAAAUGAAUCGUCAACAAUCCAACACUCAGCAAUCUCAGCAGAGUAGGCAGCAACAACAGACUACCACGACUACUCAGCAGCAGCAAAUUCAGCAGCAACAGUAUUCGCAGCACAGGACCGAGCAUCAGAUUACGCGUCAGCAGGUCACCAGUCAGCAGAGAGUGCAAGGAGAAAUCGUGAUGCAGUCGACACCCACCAUACCAGCAUUCACCGGAAGACCGGGUGAUCCGUCUCCUCCGGUAUUCGAGCAGAUUUUCAAGAACGCAAGAUUCGCGCAGGGUGGUAACGCAAUAUUUGAGGGUCGCGUUAGGGGAAACCCAAAACCUUCGGUAUCCUGGACACACAAGGGUCUACCGCUAUUCGAAUCUCAGAAAAUCCGCAUGUCUUACGACGACAGAAGCGGAGUCGUUACGCUGCAGAUAAAUCAGAUCGGACCUGGUAACGAGGGCGAAUACACGUGCAGUGCAAAGAAUCAAUACGGUGAGGCGAUUUGCUCCGUUUACAUUCAACCGGAAGGAUUCGGACCUCCCCCGCAGCAGCAGCUCGGUGGCUACCAGAAAGAAUACGCCCAAACCUUCCAAACGACUCGCAAAACGACCGAAAAACAGAGCUACAUCAACGGAAGUACCAUCGAAGAUUUCAAAGUUGACACCUUCGAAUACAGACUGCUACGCGAAACAGAAUACCGCGAGUCGAUAACUCGUCGUUACGUGGGUGAAUCUGAUACGCAAAUUUCAACCGUAAUCGACCGAUCUUUGGGACCGGUUUCACCACCCCAAAUUUCCCAGAAGCCGAGAAACUCUAAGCUAGUCGAAGGCUCCGACGCCGUCUUCACCGCAAAACUUACAGCGAAUCCAAAACCAAGACUAACUUGGUUCAAAAAUGGACAGAGGAUUCGCGAUUCACAGCGCGUUGAAAUUUCUCAUUCGAACCAACAAGCUACUCUGAAGGUUCGAGGAGCGCGCCAAGAAGACGGUGGUCACUACACGUUGCUGGCCGAAAAUCCUCAAGGAUGUACAGUAAGCUCUGCGUACCUCGCGAUUGAGCCAAGUGAUCAAGUUGAUCAGGCUCAAACUCAUGUUCAUCAGAGGGAGGUACUGAAAAGCACUCAUGUCGAGAGCUCCGAGACUACAGAGGCUGGAAAAGUCCUGCCACCAAAUUUUAUUCGCACUUGCGCCGACCGCGAUGUUACCGAAGGAAAAAUGACGAGAUUUGAUUGUCGUGUGACCGGACGACCUUAUCCGGAAGUAAGCUGGUAUAUAAACGGUUACCAAGUAGCCAACGACGCGACCCACAAGAUCCUUGUAAAUGAAUCGGGUAACAAUUCGCUAAUGAUAACGAACGUAAGUCGAGCUGACGCCGGUAUAGUGACCUGCGUGGCACGUAACAAAGCUGGAGAAACCUCGUCCCAAUGUACCCUGAACGUUAUCGAAAAAGAACAAGUCGUAGCGCCGAAAUUCGUCGAGCGUUUCACAACGAUGAACGUCAAGGAAGGAGAACCAGUCGCUUUCAAUGCUAGAGCGGUCGGCACUCCCAUACCACGAAUCACUUGGCAGAAGGAUGGUGUGCCCAUAGCGCCCGGCCCCGACGUGCGCAUAUCAACGGACGGCAGUGGAGCCUCGACCUUGGAUAUCCCCUUAGCAAGAUCCUCAGAUGCGGCAUGGUAUCAAUGCACCGCACAAAAUGUAGCCGGCUCUACCGCCACCCGGGCCCGGCUUUUCGUCGAAACACCAAAGGGAUCUGCCCCCGAACCAAGACGCCUGAACUUACCACGACCGACGAAAGUCAUCGAACCAGAACCUGCACCUGGCCCCGAAGUGAUCUACCUGCGACACGUUGAGCGUGCGAAACCGCACUUACCAAGUCACGAGGAGGAUCGAAUCUAUCCACCUCCGCAGUUUAUAAUCCCUCUACGAGACGGUCACCAGAUUGAGGGUGGGCGACAGCACUUCGAGGCCAGAAUCGAACCGGUGGGCGACCCUACGAUGAGGGUCGAAUGGUACGUGAACGGAAGACCUCUGGACGCGAGUUCCCGAGCUAAUUCAAUCUUCCGAUUUGGAUUCAUCGCCCUCGAUCUGAUCAGCAUCGUGAUGCAUGACGCCGGACAAUAUUUUUGUCGCGUAAUAAGUUCAACGGGCACAGCCGAGUCGACCGCGGUACUAAAUGUAACUGCACGAGCCACCAUCGAGCAGACCAGUCAGCAUCCGGACAGCCUGCAAUACAUUCAGCAAUUGGAGGACUACAGCAAAUAUCAGAGGCAAGAGAGUUACGAAGAAACCUCUUCCCAGCGACCGGUAUUCAUCCGUCCACUCCAAGAACUUGGGGAACUUCAGGAGGGCCGUAAUGCCCACUUCGAAGCUCAGCUAACACCGGUUAGCGAUCCUACCAUGAAAGUGGAGUGGUACAAGGAUGGAAGACCGAUCACAGCCAGUUCAAGAAUCACAACCAUCUUCAACUUCGGUUACGUCUCACUAAAUAUAAUGCACCUACGAGUCGAAGAUGCCGGUUCUUAUACGGUCAGAGCUGUGAAUCGCUUGGGAGAGGCGAUAAGCACAGCGUCUCUUCGGGUAUUUGCGCGCACAAGCGUUACCUCCGAUCUCGGAAUACCCGAGCAACAGAAAUACAUCGAAGCUGCGGAGGAGUUGGAAGCUUAUCAGCAGGCGAUGCACCAGAAAUACACGCAGGAACAACCAGAGAGAAUAACCCCACCGGAAUUUAAGAGCCCCAUAAAGGACCAAAACAACGUCCGCGAGGGUGGGUUCGCACAUUUCGAAGCCCGCCUAGAGCCAGUCGGUGACUCUACGCUACGCGUCGAAUGGCUCAAGGACGGACGACCAGUAGAAGCUAGUUCACGAAUCACAACUUUCUUCAACUUUGGCUACGUAGCGCUCACUAUAAAAUACGUAACGAUUCACGACGUCGGAGUGUACACUUGCCGCGCCUACAACAGGGCAGGGGAGGCAAGAACCACCGCGCAAUUGAGCGUAAUCAGCAAGAACGAUGUGAUAUACGACAGUCAGCAUCCCAGUGGACUUCAGAAAAUUCAGACGCUAGAAGAUUCCAGCCGUUACUCUCGUCAGGUACAGGAAGAGGUUCAAGUUACUCAAGCACCUCGUUUCCUCGGACCACUGAAGGGUACGAAUAAAAUUGUCGAAGGUCAACGGGCGCACUUCGAAGCCCGCGUGGAACCGCAAAGUGACCUUACCAUGAAGAUAGAGUGGUACCACAACGGCAAGGCAAUAACUGCCGCUAACAGGAUUCAAACUUAUCACGACUUUGGAUACGUCGCUAUCGAUAUCCUUCAGGUCCGCGCCGAGGACAUCGGAACGUACACCGUUGUGGCGAGAAACGCCCUCGGCGAAGCACAACUUUCGGCAACAAUGACGGUGGAAACUCGUUCGGGUGUCGAUACCAGCAGUAUGCACCACGGUACCUUCGAAAAAACGCAGCGUCUCGAGGGUUCGAAGUUCGUCGAGCCCCAGUAUCACAUCGAAGAAAUUUCAAAGUCGAAACCGAUUUUCGUUCAGCCGUUAUCCGAUCCGAAACCGGUGAGCGAGGGUAAAAACAUCCACUUGGAAUGUCGUUUGGAACCCAUGGGUGAUCCGACGAUGAGAGUCGAGUGGUUCCAGAACGGUCGUCCCGUGACCGUUGGCUCCAGAUUCAGGACGUAUUAUGACUUUGGAUUCGUCGCCCUCGAUAUCGUCCACACAACGGCGUUGGACUCUGGAGAAUACACGGUUCGAGCUACGAACCACCUCGGUACGGCUCACACUUCGGCCUGCGUUCGGGUCAUCGGACGUUCGGACAUAGUUACCGAUUCCCAAAACGAACAGUCCUUGGAACAGAUUCAAAUGCUCGAGGACGCCUCGAGGUACAGGAGAACCCAACAGGAGGAUGUCACGGUUUUGCAGGCACCGCAAUUCAGCAGACCUCUUCACAAUAUCGAAACCGUCGAACUCACGAACGUACAUUUGGAAUGCCGUCUUCAACCAGUCGGUGAUUCAACUAUGCGCGUCGAAUGGUUUGUCAACGGUCAUCCGGUAAAAACCGGACACCGUUUCAGACCGUCCUACGAGUUCGAUUACGUCGCUCUGGAUAUAUUGGGGGUUUAUCCCGAUGACUCCGGCGUUUACACCUGCCAAGCGCGUAAUCAACUCGGCGAGGCCGUUACCUCCUGCUCCGUUCGCGUCCACGCCAAGAAAGACCUGCUGUUGGAAACUCAGCAUCCCGAAGGUUUGGAGAAAAUUCAAUACCUUGAGGACGCCUCCAGGUACAGGAGAAACGAGCUAGUCGACGAGGUCGUUAAAAUAAAGCCCAGAUUUGUCACGAAACCAAAGAACCAGGAGAAUCUGCGCGAGGGACAGCACGCUCACUUUGAAUGCAAACUCGAACCUGUCACGGAUUCAAAUCUUAAAGUGGAGUGGUUUAAGAACGGUCGUCCAGUAACCAUAGGACACCGAUUCCGUCCCAUUCAUGACUUUGGAUACGUUGCCCUGGACGUAAUUGACCUGAUCGCGGAAGAUUCGGGCACCUACACCUGCCGCGCCGUAAAUCUAGUCGGUAGCGACGAGGUGGUGUGCACCCUUGGCUGUAGGUCGACCGCACAAAUUCUGACCGACACUCAAAACGAAGUCGGUCUCGAGCAGAUACAUUAUUUGGAAGACAGGUCAAAAUACCAAAGACAAGAGGUGGUCGACGAGACCACUACUCAGGCACCGAUAUUCACAACUUCGUUGAAAAACGUUGAGAUCAAAGAAGGUCAACGAGCCCACUUCGAGUGUCGUUUGAUUCCCGUUUCUGAUCCCACGAUGAAGGUCGAGUGGUUCCACGACAAUAAACCCGUCAAAGCUGGUUCCAGAUUUAUCGAAACCAAUAAUUUCGGAUUCGUCGCGUUGGAUAUCAUGUACGCCUACCCAGAAGAUUCUGGGACCUACACCUGCCGCGCGAGAAACGCUAUCGGCGAAGCUAUCACUUCGGCAGCUUCCGUGGUGCACUCCAAGAAAACGAUCUACCUGGAAUCACAGCACGAAGAAGCGCUGCAGCGUCUUCAACAUCUGGAAGAUUCGUCGCGCUACCAGCGAAAGAGUGUACAAGAAGAGACCGUAAGCCAGGCUCCCGUCUUCACCAUGCCUAUCAAAGAUCUGCGCGUCGCGGAAAAUCAAGCAGCACACUUCGAGGCCCGAGUCAUACCCGUUGGUGACCCGAGACUCAAGGUCGAAUGGUUGCGCAACGGUGUACCGAUUUCCGCCUCUAAUCGAGUUACUACCAUGCACGACUUCGGAUACGUCGCGCUCAACUUGAAAUACGUAAACCCCGAAGAUUCGGGUUCGUACACCUGUCGCGCCGUGAACGACCUUGGCGAAGCGGUGACCUCUGCCACGAUGUUCGUUCAAUCUAAAGCAGCCCUGCAGUUCGAGUCACAGCACGAGAGCGCUCUUUCGAAACUCCAGGCUCUCGAAGACACGAGUAAAUAUCAGCGGCGCGAAGAAGAGGAGGUGACCGUCAAGGACAAACCGUCCUUCACGGUACAACUCAACGGGCCGACAAAUCUGGUCGAAGGUCAGAGCGCGCACUACGAAUGUCGCAUCGAACCGUACCCCGAUCCAAAUAUGAAGGUCGAAUGGUUCCACAACGGGAAACCGUUGUCCACCGGACACAGAUACCGUACAACUUGCGACUUCGGAUUCGCCGCACUCGACGUACUCAGCGUAUACGCGGAAGACUCCGGCACGUAUACUUGCAGGGCUACUAACAGACUCGGAUCUGCCGAAAGUUCCAUCAAUCUAGACGUCAAGUCCCGAGCAUCCAUCAUCAGCGACACCCAGCACGAAGGUGCUCUCCAGAAAAUUCAAUACUUGGAAGACGACUCACGGUACAAACGCGUUGCCGCCGAAGACACGAUAAUCGCGGAGCGACCGAAGUUCGGACGACCCUUGAAAAAUAUCGAACAUCUACCGGAGGGCAAGAACGCUCAUUUGGAAGCUACGUUGACACCGGUGAAUGACCCUACUAUGGUGGUCGAAUGGUACAGAGACGGUAGACCGAUUUCCCAAGGACACAAGUUCAAGACUACUUACGAUUUUGGCUUCGUUGCUCUGGAUAUAUUGUACGCUUAUCCGGAAGACUCGGGGACGUACAUGUGCAAGGCGAGGAACGCUGUCGGUGAAGCUGUGACCACUUGCGUAAUCGGAGUCGACUCGAAGCAAGGCCUCCUCCUCGACACCCUGGAUGCCCAGAGAUUGCAGAAGAUUCGGGAACUCGAGACUGUCGACGUGAAACAAGUGGUAGAAAAGGAAACCGUUCACCAGAAACCCGUGUUUUUAACACCUCUGAACAACCUGGAUCACUUAAAGGAAGGCGAACACGCUCAUCUCGAAUGUCGCGUCGAGCCAAUCAACGAUCCAAAUCUAAAGAUAGAAUGGUUCGUGAACGGCGUCGCGAUCAAGACGGGUCACAGAUUCCGUACAACUCACGACUUCGGCUACGUGGCUCUUGACAUUUUGUACACAUACUCCGAGGAUUCUGGUACAUACAUGUGCAAAGCUACGAAUCUAGCCGGCGAGGCGGUUAAUACUUGCACCAUCAAGGUCGCCUCGCGCCGUAGCAUUUUGUUCGACAGUCAGCACCCUGACGGUCUAGAAAAAAUUCGAGAACUCGAAUCUCAAGGACAUCCCGCUCGUUUGGAGGUCGAAGAGCCCGUGGUCACACCACCCAGAUUCGUAACGGAGCUCAGGGGAACAACGGAAGUAUUCGAGGGCCAAACGGCGCACUUCGAGUGCCAAGUUGAACCCCUUCACGAUCCAAAUCUGCGCAUCGAGUUCUUCCAUAACGGGAAGCCCUUGCCAUCCGCAUCCCGGUUCCAUAUCACCUUCGAUUUUGGAUAUGUCGCCCUGGACAUCGGGCACUCUGUACCGGAGGAUGCCGGAGAAUAUUCCGUCCGGGCGAUCAACGCCCUCGGGCAAUGCACGUCGUCCAUCAGUCUCAAGGUUAUUCCUAGGGAAGGCAUUAUCUUGGAUUCUCAGCGCCCGGAGGGCAUGGAUAAAAUCCGGGAACUGGAAUCCCAACAACCCUGGAAAAGACCGGAUGUCCCUGAGCCUCAGACCAGACAACGCCCCGUCUUCACUCAGCCGCUCCAGAACAUCGAUUCCAUACCGGAGGGUCAAACGGCGCACUUUGAGUGCCGGUUGAUUCCCGUGGGAGAUCCAACACUCAAGGUCGAAUGGUUCAGAAAUGAAAAACCACUAGAAACGAGUUCCCGUAUCACCAAAGUACAUGACUUCGGCUACGUGUCGCUCGAUAUUUCGCACAUUCGCGACGAAGACGAGGGUGUCUAUAUGUGCAGAGCAUUGAACCCACUGGGUGAGGCUGUUACCACCGCCUCGAUGAGAAUUAGAUCCAAAGCCAACAUUCAACUGGAAACGCAGCAUCCCGAAGCUCAGCAAAGGAUCGCUCAGCUCGAAGCUGACAAGGGUCCAAGACGUCCCGAUGAACCAGAGAGAGUAUUUGACAAGCCAAUUUUCACACAGCUUCUCAGCGGUCCCUCCGAACUCUGGGAAGGACAGGUCGCUCAUUACGAGUGCAGGGUUGUCCCAGUUGGUGAUCCGAGCUUGAGAUUCGAGUGGUUCGUCAACGGCGUUGAGUUGAAAAUGGGUUCUCGCUUCCACGUCACCCACGAUUUCGGUUUCGUGACUCUUGACAUCAUGAAGGUGAUAUCCGAAGACUCCGGAGUCUACACGUGCAAAGCGAUCAACAAAUCUGGAGAGGCUGUCUCUUCCAUAUCGCUGAAAGUUAAAGCUCGCUCGAACAUCGUCGGCGACUCCAUUCAGCCGGACGCAUGGCAAAAGAUUCAAUUGAAAGAAGCCGAGAUGAACAAAGUGCCGGAAAUGUUCAUCGAUACGACUCCACAACAGGCUCCCGUAUUCACAACCCAUCUUAAGAGCUACGACAAACUUACCGAGGGUCAGCACGUGUAUCUGGAAGCUCAAGUGGAGCCCAGAGCGGAUCCGAAUCUCCGCGUCGAAUGGUUCAAGAACGGCGUACCUCUGCAAACCGGUACUCGACUGCGCAGCACGUUCGAUUUCGGUCUCGUCACUCUCUCCAUCAACGGUGUACGUGCCGACGACUCCGCGAUUUACACCUGCAAGGCAACAAAUUUGUUGGGUGAGGCCGUAUCGACUUGCACUCUGAAGGUGGACGACCGACACUGGCUGUUGGGAGACACCCUCCACCCGGACGCGCUGCCGAAGAUCGAUGCCCUUGAACAACCGGUCGUAUCCGGUACCGAACAACCCGAGACCGUUUACGAAGAACCGGUGUUCAUCACUCAUCUGAACAAUGUCGAGUGCAAGGAGGGCGAUAACGUUCACUUCGAAUGCAACGUAGAGCCGUCGAAAGAUCCGACGAUGAAGAUCGAGUGGUUCGUGAACGGCAAACCGAUUCCACUCGGUGCCAGAUUCAAGUCAACGUACGAUUUCGGAUACGUAGCGUUGGACAUCAAUCACGCCUACGAGGAGGACUCCGGACUUUACACCGUCAAGGCGACGAACUCCAAGGGCACAGCUCAAACGACCGGUACCCUGAAGUGCAUCAGUAAGCAGAGUAUCUACCUGCAGACGCAACAUCCGCAGGGCGAAGCUGGACUCGAAAAAGUCAAGGAAGCCGAGGACGCCUACCUCUCAAAAUUACAGAGGCGGGACUCGGGACCGGAACACGAAUUCCCCAAGCCAAUAUGGAUCGUACCACUUCAGCCCGAGUUCAAACUCGGUGAAUCCGAACCGCUUCAUCUGGAAGGUCAAGUCGAACCCAAGGAAGACCCGAAUCUGCGCAUAGAAUGGUACUUCAACGGUAAGGUACUCGAACACGGUGCCCGAUUCAAGAUGACCAGUGACUUCGGUUUCGUGACGCUCGAUUUGACCGACGUUUAUGACCGCGAUUCCGGAAUUUACACGUGCAAGGCGAUCAACAAGGCCGGCGAAGCGUUCACCUCGACGACAAUUUAUUGUUCGACCAAAGAGAACGUGAUCGAAAGAUCGCAGCAUCCGAAGGGCAAGGAGGGACUGGAAGCGAUUCAGGACCUCGAAGAAUCGCUGAAGAGACCCGACGGCACUCCGGCGGAAAGCGACGAGGGACACCCACCGGUAUUCACAUCUCAAUUCGAGAACUUGACGAACCUUUCGGAAGGUGAAAUAGCUCAUUUCGAGGCAUCCCUUACACCGGUCGGCGAUCAAACAAUGGUCGUCGAAUGGUUUUACAAUGGAAAACAACUCGAAGCAAGUCACAGGACCAGGACGGUGUACGCCUUCGGUAUGGUCGUUCUCGAGGUACUCGGUACCAAGGUCGAGGAUUCCGGCACUUACACCUGCCGGGCGACGAACAAGUGGGGAAGAGCCGAGAUCAGCGUGAAUCUCGAAUGCGUCGACAAAUCCAAGGGACAAAAGCCCAAAUUCACCACUCAAAUUCAAUCGCUCGAAGGACUCAAGGACGGACAGUCCGUACACUUCGAAUGCACGUUGAUUCCGGUCGGUGAUCCUCACAUGAAAGUCGAAUGGUUCCACAACGGACAACCCCUGCGUCAUUCGUCCAGAUUCAAGAUGGUAUCGGACUUCGGAUUCGUCGUAAUGGACAUCGCCGGUGUGAUGUCCCACGAUACCGGCGAAUACGUUUGCAAGGCGAGUAACAAAUACGGCGAGGACUACACCAAGGCCACGAUAAAAUGCUUCGGAAAGAGCGGGGUCUACCUGGAUUCCCUGCAACCCGAUUCCCUGGCUCGCAUCCGAGAACUCGAAAGUUUGGGGGCUGAUCAACCAGCUGCACCGUCGACACCGGUCGCGGAACCGCCCAAAUUUAUAACACAAAUUUCGAACAUCACAAAACUGGUGGAGGGACAAUCGGCACACUUCGAAGCCAGACUGACACCGGUAACGGAUCCCGAUCUGGUCGUCGAAUGGUAUUACAACGGCAAGAAAUUACCGCACGGACAUCGUUACAGAACGUUCCACGAUUUCGGUAUCGUGAUUUUGGAUAUACUUUACUGUUACGAAGAAAACUCCGGAGAGUACGAAUGCAGGGCCGUUAACAAAUACGGUCAAGAUUCCACCAAAGCUACGUUGAGAUGUCUGUCCAAGGCGAACCUGAUACUGGAGUCUCAAUUACCGAAGGGUAUGGAGGGCGGUCUCGAGAAGAUUCAAUCUCUCGAGGACUCCUUGAUUCGUACCAAGGAGGAACAGAGCGUCCAGGAACGUGGCAAGGCUCCGGUGUUCACCGUUCCUCUCAGCAACAUCGACGGUCUAAGAGAAGGAGAGAGCGCUCACUUCGAGGCACGACUGACACCCACGGAUGACCCCAAACUCAAGGUCGAAUGGUUCUGGAACGGAAAACCACUGCGUACGGGAUCGAGGUUCCGAACAUUCUGCGACUUCGGUUUCGUAAUCUUGGAGAUUUCCCCGAUAUAUCCGGAGGACACCGGAGAAUACAGUUGCCGUGCGACGAACGACUACGGCGAAGCCGUGACGACGUGCACGUUGAAGUGCACCGGCAAACGUAACAUCAUACUGGAAUCUCAGUUACCCAAGGGUAUGGAGGGAACGAUCGACAAGAUCGCGGAACUCGAGGGUCUCGGCAACGCGCCGGGGCAGGCCAGUCCCGACGACGACACCGGCAAACCACCGGAAUUCAUCACGACACCGUCCGAUUUGACUUUGGCGGAAAACUCACUCGCCCAUUUCGAGUGCAGGCUGCAGCCGGUGAACGACUCCAGUAUGCGCGUCGAGUGGUAUCACAACGGAAAGGCGCUUCUGGCGGGAUCCAGAGUGAAAACUAUCCACGACUUUGGUUUCGUUAUAUUGGAGGUCGCCAAUUGCUACCAGCGAGACUCCGGUCUUUACACGUGCAAAGCAACGAACCGUCACGGAGAAGCGACGGUUUCCUGCAAGCUCCAAGUCAGAGGACGUCAGGGAAUAAUUCUGGAGCCGCAACUCCCUACCAACUUCAGGAGCGGCACCGAGAGCAUUCAAAAACUGGAGGAGUCUCUCUACAAACAAGACGAAAUAAUGACCGAGGACGAAAAACCGAAUCCUCCGAGAUUCACGGUCGAACUGAAGGACAUUCAAGUGGAAGAAGCUGGACCGAGUCACUUCGAUUGCCGCGUAGAACCGGUAGGCGAUUCCACGAUGCGCAUAGAUUGGUUCCACAAUGGAAGACCGUUCGCGACCGGAUCCAGAGUUCAUAUGAUCAAUGAUUUCGGCUUCAUCUCUCUCGAUCUUUCGUACACCUACGCGAGGGACAGCGGUGAAUAUGUAUGCAGAGCUACUAACAAAUGGGGAUCCGCGACUACGAAGGCAUCGAUAAUAUGCAAAACUAAAAAAACGAUCGAUUACGACUCGCAACUUCCAUCGGGAAUGAGUGGCGAAAAAUUAAAAGAGUUGGAACGCGGACCGGUCAGCGUUGCCCCCGCGGCUGACGCCCCGAGACAACCGCCCAAGUUCAUCACCCAAAUUCAAUCCGCAACCGUCGAUGAAUCCGAACCGGUUAGAUUCGAGUGUCGCGUGGAGCCCAAGGACGAUCCUAAUCUGAGAAUCGAGUGGUACAGAAACGGAAAACUUAUACCAGCUGGACACAGAUAUAGAACAACCUACGACAUGGGCUUCGUAUCCAUGGACGUCUUGUACGUUUAUUCGGAAGAUUCCGGUGAAUACGUUUGCAAAGCCAUCAAUGACCUCGGCGAAGACACAACGAGGGCGUCAGUCUCUUGCAAGAAAUUGCCGAAUAUCAUUCUACAGAACCAAGUGCCAAAGGGGAUGAAAAAAUCCGAAGCUUUGAUGCAGAUGGAAGCUACCAUCAAAAAAUACACUUCGGAAAUUCAUUUGACCGAGGACGAUCUCUACGACGCGGACAAGAAACAACCACCUCGUUUCGUAACGCAAAUAAAGGACCAAACCGAACUCAUCGAGAUGAACAGCACCAAAUUCGAAUGUCAAUUGGCACCUGUGGGCGAUCCGAACAUGAAAGUAGAAUGGUUCUUCAACGGUAAACCAUUGCCUCACAAAAACCGAUUCACGCCGAUCUACGAUUUCGGUUACGUCGCCAUGAACUUCGGAUGGGUAUACCCGGAGGACAGUGGGGAAUAUUUGUGCAGGGCGACGAAUCUCUACGGUAUGGACGAAACCAGAGCUGUGAUCAGGACCGCCGGAAAACCCGGAAUAAUCUACGAAUCUCAACUUCCCAAGGGAAUGAAGAGUAUCGAGAAAAUCAGGGAAAUGGAAGCAGCCUGGCAAGUUGUACCGGAAGAAGAGGGUGAAGACGAAAAAGUUCGCGCACCACCGGCGUUCGUAAGUAAACCCGAACCGGUAACCGUCGAAGAGAGCGACUGGGCAAGAUUCUGCUGUCGCGUUACGGGACACCCGAAACCACGAGUGAUGUGGAUGAUCAACGGGCAUACCGUUUUCAACGGAGCCCGAUACAAGCUCACCUACGACGGGAUGUACCAUUUGGACAUUCCAAAGACCAGACAAUACGAUCACGGUAAAGUCGAAGUGAUCGCCCGUAGCUCCGUGGGUGAAACCCGUACGGAAACUACCCUUACGGUGAAGCCGCGCAGCGACGAUUACCGCGGGGUGCUCAAGAAUUCGCCUAGGCCGUGGUACGAUAUCGGAUUGACGCAAUACCAGAGCGACCGACAAGACACCGAGUUGGAACGUGUGUUCGACGAACGGCACCAAACGGUGUCCCAGGGUGUCGAUAUCGCCACGGAUCACCUGACCCAAAAAGUCUACAAAGAGCCGGAGACCGAAUGGCAGAAAUCUGUGAAAACAAAGAAGAACGAAGAUUAUUACAACAAAUUGAUGAACCUCGAGGAGGAGCAAGUUCUCAAGGAAACGAGACUCAGAGAGAACACUCAUCAAUUCGCAGUCCCCGGCGACAAACUCGUCGACAAUUCCGUGGCUAAGGGAAUGGCACAGAAAUAUCAGGAAAACCUUCAAUCUCAACCGCAAGGACCAGCACCGCCUCCUCCGCGGCAAGUUCUUCGUCAAGGCCAACACGUGACGGAAGUUGAGAUCGAUUCGCAAAGAGUCGGCGGAAGGCAUCCUCCGGAGCCGACGGAAUCUUCGGUUCACGGUCGCGAGGUACACGUCGCCAAGCAGCGUCAGACCCAGAAGGAGACCAAGGGCGACCUAGAAAUAACUAGAAACAUAACGGCAACGGAAACCACGGAAGUUGAGCACAAGGCCAAGACUCAGGAGAGGAUCGUUCAGGGGCAGGUGAAGCCCGCGAACCCGCCGGUGUUCACCAAGAAAAUACAGCCUUGCCGAGCGUUCGAGCAAGAGCAGGCGAGAUUCGAAGUCGAAUUCGACGGAGAUCCGCUACCUACCAUAAAAUGGUACCGCGAAGAUUUCCCCAUCCAGAAUUCGUCCGAUCUCCAGAUCCACACGUUCAGUACGAAGUCGGUGCUGAUCGUACGCCAAGUAUUCAUGGAGGAUUCCGGUGUAUUCUCGGUGAUAGCCGAGAAUCGUGGAGGAAAAGCCAAGUGCAGCGCGAAUCUGGUCGUGGAAGAACGCAGGAGGCAGCCAGGAAGGGGUGGCGUCAUCCCUCCGAGCUUUUUGACCACCAUUCAGAGCACAACGGUGCCCAGUGGUCAACUGGCGCGAUUCGACGCGAAAAUAUCAGGCACCAAGCCCCUCGACGUUUACUGGUUGAAGAACGGCAAAAAAGUGACGGCCGACAUCCGCUACAAAACCUUGGAGGAAGACAACGUCUACACCCUCCUGAUAUUGGAGGCCGUGCCGGAAGAUAACGGGAAGUACGAAUGCGUGGCGAUCAACAGGGCUGGCGAGGCGAGGUGCGACGCCGACUGCACGAUCCAGACACCUGCGUCUCCGACGAAACCGUCGAAACCCAGCACACCGGGUGCUGAAAAAGCACCGUUCGUCGCCGAACCGCUCAAGGAUCAGACCAUCAGGGAGGGGGCCUCGGUUGCCUUCAGAUGCAGAAUAUCUGGAAAACCAGCGCCAACCGUUCAGUGGAAGAAAGGAGACAAGGUCAUCAAGCCCUCCAAAUACUUCCAAAUGUUGAAAGAAGCGGAAAUCUGCACUCUGAAAAUUUCUGAGGCUUUCCCCGAGGACGAAGGUGUCUAUAAAUGCAUCGCCAAAAAUCCGGCCGGCGAUGUCACAACAUCAGCUAAUCUUCGAGUUCUCGCUCCGGACACCACGGAUGUCCUGCCCAAGCUAACUCCGCUCAAGGACCAGAUUGUCAUGGAAGGUCAACCGGCCCAGUUCAAAACUCAGGUGUCACCACCGAAAUCGAAACCGACGAUUCAAUGGUACCGCGACGGUGCCCUGAUCCCACAAUCGCCAGACUUUCAAAUGAUUCACGAAGGUAACAACGCCGUUCUACUGAUCGCAACGACGUACGAAGAAGACAGCGGUACUUUUUCAUGCCGUGCAACGACAUCAGCUGGAACUGUAGAAACGUCGGCGAAACUCAUCGUCAAAAAACGACAAGGUGUUUUUUAUCAGACAUCUUUGAUCGAUGAGAGUGGCCCCGGUGCGAAAUCCGGACAGGGACCAUUGAAAGGUUCCGCCGGUAAGGGCGGAAUAAUUCAGGGACCUAGCGAAGGCUUGAUUGAGCUUGACCAAGAAGGUCAUCCGAUAGGUGAAGUUCUUCAAGCGGGUGACGAAACGCUACCGUGGCGUCAAGGACGCGUGAAACACAGACCUCGGGUAGCUAACGUAACACCGUGGAGAAAGGCUAAGCCAAAGUCGAGGGACACUUCUCUCGAUAAAUUACAACAGGCCAGACUCGAACAUCAGGUGAAACCUUGGACGGAAGAAGACGUUGUGCUGAAAAAAGCACCGCACUCGAUCAAGGAAAUUCCCAAAGAAAAACUGGAAGAGGUUGAACUGAAACGCGUCAAGACCGAAAAGAAAGAGAUUCGAAAAUCUAGCGUUGAACACGUGGAUCUCAAGCACAUAUCCAAGGAUGUCAUUAGCACCGACGUUGACGAACAUGAAGUUCGAACAGCUCCUUUUACGCAGGGACCGAUUCCCUGGACGGAAGAAAAGAUUCAGCUGAAGAAAAGCAAACCGAAAAGUGAGCAAGUUGAAGAGGAAAUGAUCGAGUCCGCUACCGAUUACGUAGAAACGGACGAGACUAAGCUCUUGAAAAUACGCAGGGUCAGUAGGACGGAUGUCCAACAGAAGACAUCUGAUAAACCUAAGCCGUGGACCGAAGAAAAAAUCUCUUUGAAAAAGGUGCAAGUCGAGAAGAAAGAAAUACCCAAGGAGACAAUAGAGGACGUUGAAUUGAGACCGGUAAAACCUGAGAAGCAGGAAAUAAGUGAAUUGAAAUUAAUACCUGGUAAACAGAAUGUAGUCGAGCGUGAUUCUCAAUUGCAAGAAGAGUCCACCGUGGAAUAUCUUGAAUCGGAUGAUACGAGUCGCUUGCAUGUCAGAAAAUCGACUGUGGAAGAAAUCGAACGUAAAAAAGUUGAUAAGCCCAAGCCAUGGACGGAGGAGAAAAUUUCGCUGAAAAAGGUACAGGUAGAAAAGAAAGAGGUUCCCAAAGAAACGAUAGAAGACGUCGAAUUGAGACCGACGAAGCCUGAGAAACAGGAAACUGAUAAAUUGGAACCAAAGCCUACCAAGCAGAUGAAAACCACUCGUGAUUUCCAAUCACAAGAUACGUCGACGAUGGAAUAUCUGGAGUCAGAUGACACAAGUCUCUUACAAGUUAAGAAAUCGACUGUGGAAGACGUCGAACGUAAAAAAGUUGAUAAGCCCAAGCCAUGGACGGAGGAGAAAAUUUCGCUGAAAAAGGUAGAGGUAGAGAAGAAAGAGGUUCCUAAAGAAAAAAUAGAAGACGUUGAAUUGAGACCAACGAAGCCUGAGAAACAGGAAACUGAUAAAUUGGAACCAAAACCUACCAAGCAGAUAAAAACCACUCGUGAUUUCCAAUCACAGGAUACGUCGACGAUGGAAUAUCUGGAAUCAGAUGACACAAGUCUCUUGCAAGUUAAGAAAUCGACUGUGGAAGACGUCGAACACAAGAAAAUAGAAACUCCCAAACCGUGGACGGAGGAAAAUAUUACCUUGCGAAAGUCUAAGGUUGAAAAAACGGAAGUUACGAAAGAAUCGAUUCUGCAGGAGGUUCAACUGAAGCCUAGUAGGCCUCAAAAGCAACCUGUUGAAAAACCGCAGGUCGAACGAGUGGAUCUACAACCUCUGAAAAAACCUAAGAAGACCGAGGUGUCUGUUACAAGACGCGAGUCUUUGAAAACUGAGACCUUCGAACAGAGCGUAGUUGAAGAGCAAGAAAGUGAAGAGGAGGAGAGCAGAUCUUCUCUGCGCAUUGAUUGGAGAAAGGAUUCCAUUACAAAACCCAUUCCAUGGACGGAAGAGGUUGUUAAACUGAAGCCUUCCAGUCGACCCAAGGUUGAACCUCAGAUCGAGACCAGCGAACAGAUUACUUUGAAACCCAAAGAGAAACAGGGAGUAUUUGUUGAAACGGAAGACACGUCAUUAUUGAGUCUCGAUAAAAGGACUAAAGAAGAACUGAAAACAGCACCGGAAAAGGUGAAACCUUGGACGGACGAGGUAGUGACAUUGAAAAGAACUCCGAAAGUAACGAAAGAAAUUCAGAAGCCCGAGCAGGAAGAAGUUCAACUUCGACCGCUCGUAGCUGGUAAAAAACCAACAGACAGCGAGGUCACAAAAACGAAGUCAAAGUCAGGGAAGGACGAAUACCGAUCCGAAAGUGACACGACUACCUUGAAAAUAGAUGUCGACGAAGAGCUUAUCGAAGAAAAACAAGAAGAAUCCACUGCCAUUUGGCGCAGAGGCAAGAAAAAGCCAGAACAAAAAGUACCUGAUUCUGUUGUAGAAAAAAUUAAUGAGGAUGUGGUGCCGGAAGAACGCGUAACUGAAGAAAUAAGCGUAGCCUGGCGUAGGGAUAAAAGAACUCAGAAGCCGUCAGAAGAGCAAGUUCCUGAGGAGGUCAAACCUGAGAAAGAUGAACCUGUUGAAAAAUCUGAGUUACCUUGGCGCCGCGGAAAGAAACCUGGUAAAGUUAUACAACAGAAAGAUAAAUUGCAGCCCGAAGAUCAACCGGAGGACGAUAAGCCUCAGGCAAAACAGAUCACCGAUACCGUCAAACCUGACGAAGAAGUAUCUAAAGAAGUAGCUGAUUUGCCUUGGAGACGUACGAAAAGACCUGGAAAAAUAAUCGAAGACAAAGCGCAGCCUGAGUUGGAAAAAUCAUCCGGUGAACCUCAGCAAGAACAGGUCGACGAGCAACCUCAAGAACAGCAGCCAGAUGAACAGACAUCAAAAUUACCAUGGUUGAGAAAGAAGGACACACAGCGUAAGGUGAUUGAAAGGAAAGAAGAACAAAUUGAAGAUAUAAAAUCGAUCUCUUUGAAGCCGGUGAAGCGAACGAAGAAACCCGAAGAGCGUGACGACACAGAAGUAGUUCAUUUGAAGCCAGUCAAACAUGAAAAAACGGAAGAAGAUACGACUGACGAAAUAAAAUUGAAACCUGUUGAAAAACUGGAAUCCGAAGUUGAAAUGAGCAAAAAGCCGGUUAAACAUCUGGAUCAAAGAGAGGAGAAACCGGAAACCAAGAUAGCUGAAAAAGUUAGUACAGAGGUAACUGAAAAACUUUUGCCUUGGCAAAAAAGAAAAAUACCACGGGAGGAUCAGCCGGAAAAACCGUCGGAAACGAAAGAAACGACAGUGGAGUCAGUAGAUGAAGUGAUAAUCUCAGAGCGGGACCUCGUGACUAAGGAGACUUCCACUCGUGAAAUAGAGAAUGUCGAAAAGAUUGAAGUUAAAAGAGAAGACCAAAUCGAAGACAUACGAAGUGUGAGUUUGAAGAAAGUUAGGCGUGAGAGAAAACCGGAAGUAAAAGAAGACAGAGAAGAGGUAGUGCUGCGACCGGUGAAGAGGAUACCUAAAGAUGACGAGACUAGCGAAGCAAUCAAAUUGAAACCCGUUGAAGUCCUUGAAACUGAAGAAGACAAACCUGAAAAUGUUAUGCUGAAGCCCACUGAACAAAAACUUCCUGUAGAGAAAAGCGACCAAAAAGAUAUUCUCAAACCUGUCAAGCGUGAAAAGAGACCAGAAGGACUCAAAAAGGAUGAAAAUGAGCUGAAACCAGCUGAUAGCAAAGAUAUUGAAAAAGAUGUCGAAGAAAGACCCGUCCCUGAAAGACUGCGCGAAGAAUCUCUACCGGAAGAGCAAGUGGAACAGAGUACUGCUCCUUGGCGCCGUAGUCAGAAACCCAAGAAGGUAAUUGAGCAAAGUCUUCACGAAAAACCCGAAGAACAUUCUCAACCGAAGCACGAUGAGGUGGAUAAAGAUCAGCCAGAUGUGGAAGAGGCACACCAAGAAAUUAUAACAAUUGAUAUUCUACCACGAGGUAAAAAGACCAAAACCACUAAAGUAGUGACAAAGAAGAUUGAAUCCCAAGAAGAUACAUCAUCAGUGCCACAACGCGAGGAAGAACAUAUUGAGGUAUUUAAAACUGAAGAGACAGUUGUUGUCGAAGAGUCGAGGCUAAAGGAGAAAAAACGGAAGCCGUCCAGACAAAAGCAAAUUCCUGAUCAAAAACCAGAUGAAGUUGAAAAAGUUGAUCUCAAGCCGAUUCCGAAGAAAACUGCUGGGACCGAAACAGCGCCCAGCGACUCAGAGUUGAAACCAGUUGUGGAAAAGAAGAUCGAUGAUGUAAAAGAAGAGAAACCAGAAGAAAUACCACAAGAGCAGACUGACCUACCCUGGCGCCGGGGCAAAAAGAAGCCGCUUACCGGAAAAGAAACAACGCAAGAAACAUCCACUGUGGAAAAGGAAAUCGAGGAAGCCGAAGUGACUCUAUGGAAGGGCAAGAGGAAACCAAAGGCACCUGAAGAGCAGAAGAAAGAAGUUCAUCUCAAACCAAUUCCACAAAAAGUACCAGAUGAACCUACGCCGAAAGAAGAACCAGAGCACCAGGUCGACGGAGUGAAAUUGAAACCUAUUGAAAAAGUGGAACAAAAAAUCGAGGAAGAAACAGAAGUUACUUGGAGAAAGGGUAAAAGGAAACCAAAAGCACCCGAAGAGCAAAAAGAAGAAGUGCAUCUCAAACCAAUUCCACGAAAAGAACCUGAAGAAAAAAUGCCAGAAAAAAUUGAGCUGAAACCCACUCGCAAAGCAAGACCAGAGGAAAAAGUGGAAGAGGUGAAACUGAAACCCGUAAGGAGAGAACGAAAAACGUCGGUUGAGGAAGUAGAAAAAGUAACUUUGAAACCUGUGCCUAAAAAACCCAUCAAAGAAUCUGCGGAAAUUACACCCGAAGCUCCACAAAAACCAGUUGAACUUCUUCCCGAGAAAGUUGAAGAAGCCCCGGUGGAAGAACAACCAGUUGAAAAUACAGAAUUACCUUGGAAACGUGGCAAAAAACCCAAAAAGCCCGUUCAGAAGAUUGCACCAGAAGAAGAGGAGACAUUACCGGAAGAAGUAAUUCCUGAUGAAUUAAAACCGGUGGUUACCCCUGAAGAGCAGCCUGAACAACAAAUUGAUGAAGUUCAUCCCAAGACUGUGAAAAAGGUUGAGCAACAAAUUGAAGAAGAAACCGAGGUCACUUGGCGAAGAGGCAAAAGAAGGCUGAAAGCACCUGAAGAGGCGAAAGAAGAAGUUCAUCUCAAACCAAUUCCACAAAAAGAACCCGAAGAAAAAAUUCCAGAAAAAAUUGAGCUGAAACCAACGCGCAAAGAAAAACCAGAGGAUAAAGUAGAAGAAGUGAAACUGAAACCCGUGAAGAGAGAACGGAAAACGUCGGUUGAGGAAGUGGAAAAAGUAACUUUGAAACCUGUGCCUAAAAAACCCAUCAAAGAAACGACUGAAGCUCCACAAAAACCAGUUGAGCUUCUCCCAGAGAAAGUUGAAGAAGCCCCGGUGGAAGAACAACCAGCUGAAAAUACAGAAUUACCUUGGAAACGUGGCAAAAAACCCAAAAAACCUGUUCAGAAGAUUGCACCAGAAGAAAAAGAGACAUUACCGGAAAAAGUAAUUCCUGAUGAAUUAAAACCGGAGGUUACCCCUGAAGAGCGGCCUGAACAACAAAUUGAUGAAGUUCAUCCUAAGACUGUGGAAAAGGUUGAGCAGGAAGUUGAAGAAGAAACCGAGGUCACUUGGAGAAAGGGUAAAAGAAAACCAAAAGCACCCGAAGAACAGAUAGAAGAAGUUCAUCUCAAACCAAUUCCGCAAAAAGAACCAGAAGAGAAAAUACCAGAAAAAAUUGAGCUGAAACCUACGCGCAAAGAAAAACCAGAGGAAAAAGUAGAAGAGGUGAAACUGAAACCCGUGAGGAGAGAACGGAAAACGUCGGUUGAGGAAGUGGAAAAAGUAACUUUGAAACCUGUGCCUAAAAAACCCAUCAAAGAAACGACUGAAGCUCCACAAAAACCAGUUGAGCUUCUUCCAGAAAAAGUUGAAGAAGCGCUGGUAGAAGAACAACCAGCUGACAAUACAGAAUUACCUUGGAAACGUGGCAAAAAACCCAAAAAGCCCGUUCAGAAGAUUGCACCAGAAGAAGAGGAGACAUUACCGGAAGAAGUAAUUCCUGAUGAAUUAAAACCGGAGGUUACCCCUGAAGAGCAGCCUGAACAACAAAUUGAUGAAGUUCAUCCCAAGACUGUGAAAAAGGUUGAGCAAAAAAUUGAAGAAGAAACCGAGGUUACUUGGAGGAAAGGCAAACGGAAACCAAAGGCACCUGAAGAGCAAAAAGAAGAAGUUCAUCUCAAACCAAUUCCACAAAAAUUACCAGAUGUACCUAAGCCGAAAGAAGAACCAGAGCAACAGCUUGACGAAAUCAAACUGAAACCUAUUGAAAAAGUAGAACAGAAAAUCGAGGAAGAGACAGAAGUUACUUGGCGAAAGGGUAAAAGGAAACCAAAAGCACCCGAAGAGCAAAAAGAAGAAGUUCAUCUCAAACCGAUUCCACAAAAAGUACUGGAGGAAGAUAUUCCAGAAAAAAUUGAGCUGAAACCAACGCGCAAAGACAAACCAGAGGAAAAAGUAGAAGAGGUGAAACUGAAACCCGUGAGGAAAGAACGAAAAACGUCGGUUGAGGAAGUAGAAAAAGUAACUUUGAAACCUGUGCCUAAAAAACCCAUCAAAGAAACGACUGAAGCUCCACAAAAACCAGUUGAGCUUCUUCCCGAGAAAGUUGAAGAAGCCCCGGUGGAAGAACAACCAGUUGAAAAUACAGAAUUACCUUGGAAACGUGGCAAAAAACCCAAAAAGCCCGUUCAGAAGAUUGCACCAGAAGAAGAGGAGACAUUACCGGAAGAAGUAAUUCCUGAUGAAUUAAAACCGGUGGUUACCCCUGAAGAGCGGCUUGAACAACAAAUUGAUGAAGUUCAUCCCAAAACCGUGAGAAAGGUUGAGCAGGAAAUUGAAGAAGAAACCGAGGUCACUUGGCGAAGAGGCAAAAGGAGGCCGAAAGCACCUGAAGAGGCGAAAGAAGAAGUUCAUCUCAAACCAAUUCCACAAAAAGUACCAGACGUUCCUACGCCGAAAGAAGAACCGGAGCAACAGCUUGACGAAGUCAAAUUAAAACCUGUUGAAAAAGUGGAACAGAAAAUCGAGGAAGAAACCGAAGUCACUUGGAGAAAGGGUAAAAGGAAACCAAAAGCACCUGAAGAGCAAAAAGAAGAAGUGCAUCUCAAACCAAUUCCACGAAAAGAACCUGAAGAAAAAAUGCCAGAAAAAAUUGAGCUGACACCCACUCGCAAAGAAGAACCAGAGCAGAAAGUAGAGGAAGUCAAACUGAAACCUGUGAAGAAGGAUAGGAAACCUCAUCCCGAACAGGAGAAAACAGAACCCUUAGAGGCUACACCACAAGAGAAGGUCAUAGAUGAUACUGAAGAAAUUCCACAAAAACCAUCGAAGGCUCAACCAGAACAACUUGAAGAAAAGCCCGUGGAAGACCAGCCUACCGAUAGAGCAGAGUUGCCUUGGCGUCGCAGCAAGAAAUCUAAGAAACCCAUUCAGAAGCCAGUAGAGAGUGAAGACACCGAGAAGUUCGAAGAGCUGGAAGCAAUCGUACCGAAACCAGCGGAAAAAGUAAUCAUGCCAGAGGAUGUAGAACAAGAAGAGUCCGAGGUCACAGCUGAAAUAAUUAAGCCUGUACUAAUUAGUGAUACGGUUACUCAGAACAUCGUUGAGGAGACUGUAACUUCUGCAGAGCAGAUCAAGAUAGCUAAAAAACAGAAAUCGGUUAAAAUAAAUACCAGAGCAAUCGAGAUUAUCGAUGACAAGGUGGAUGAAAAUACUGAAGAUAUCGUUGAACUUGAUAUCAGUUCGAUAUCGAAGAAACGACCUGAAAAAGAAGAACCGGUAGAAGAAAAAGUCCAGCCAGAAGAACCAAAACGUAAACGAAGGCAACGGACGCAAGUCGAUAUUUCCGUUACUGAUAAAACUAAAAAAGUCGCUCCACGAUUCAUACAGAAGCUACAACCAGUUAUCGCUGAGCCGGAUAAGCCAGCCAAAUUUACUUGCACUGUAGUAGGAAAUCCGUUCCCGGAAGUAACUUGGUACAGAAACGAACAAGAACUUCACGCUAGUGAAAAGUAUCUCAUGACCGUUGUCGAAACAACAGCAACCUUGGAGAUAACAGAGGUCAAAGAAGAAGACGUCGCGAUGUAUUCUUGCAGAGCUUCGAAUCCUGCUGGUGUUGCCACUUCGACAGUGAAUCUAGUCAUAUUCGAAAAAGAGGAUGAAGGUGUCGCACCACACUUUACGACACCCAUCAAACCACUGAUGGUAGAAAAGCACAAGCCAGCGACUCUGGAAUGCGUGGUAACCGGAACACCAGCACCGGAAGUGAAAUGGUACCGUGGUGAAAAGGAGAUCAAACCGAAAAAGGGAACCGAAAUUACCCUUGUACCGGAAACUGGGGUGGCCAAACUCACCAUCGCUUCGCCAACUCGCGAGGACGCCAAGGUCUACAGAGUCCGAGCGGUGAACAAAUUCGGCCGAGCGGAAUGCAGGGCAAAUCUGCUCAUCACCGAUUCCGUAUUGGUAACGAAACCCGAAGUGAUGCACGCUCCGAAAAUAACGAAACCCUUGCCAGCUCUGAUCGCCGAAAAGGGCGAACCGUUGGUGUUAGCUGCCGAUUUCGAAAGCACACCAAAGGGUGAAGUGAAAUGGUACAAAAAUGGUACGGAAAUAGCCCCGUCGCCGAGACAGAAAAUCGAGGUAUUCGAGAAUACGACUGAACUGACGAUAAACGACGUUACGAAAAAGGACAGCGGAAAGUAUGAAAUACGGGUUCAGAAUCAAGCGGGUGAAGCUCGUAGUUCCGGAUCCGUGACUGUUACCAAACGACAAGAAUCACCGGAUGCCGUACAAGCACCGAGAUUCAUUGAACCCCUCUAUCCCAGAAUCGUCACUCCGGGAGAAGUCGUUAUAAUGGAAACGAGAGUCGACUCGUAUCCUACUGCAUCCUUCCAGUGGUUCCACAAUGACCACGCUAUCAUGUCGUCACCCGAAUUACGAAUCGUAACGCAAGACAACCGUUCGAUUUUGUUGGUCAAGGAGAUCGUGCCGGAAUUCGCUGGCUCGUACACAUGUCGCGCGGAAAAUGUUGCGGGUUCGGUAACGUGCACAGCAAGUGUGAAUAUCACAGAAGAAACGUGGGAAGAGGCGGUUGAGUUGGUGUCACCGACAUUUGUCCGCAAAAUGUCACCCGUAAGGGUGAUGGACGGCGACAGUGUGAAUCUCACAUGUGUCGUACAAGGCAAACCAACGCCUAGAGUAGAAUGGUUCCACGAUAACAAGCCCAUUAAAGAAGGAAAAGAGAUCACGAUACUCCAGGACACCGAGGGGGUUUGUAGUCUAGCGAUUUCCGAAGUAUUUCCUGAAGAUGCUGGAGAAUAUACUUGCCAGGCACUCAAUCCCGUCGGUGAAGCGGUUUGCACAACUUCGCUAGUCGUGGAAGCAUACGAAUACGUAGCUGAUUCCGAAAUAGCUUCAUCAAUCGUAGCGACUUCCCUGAUCACUGGGCAGAGUGGCUCCGAAGAGGAUCUGUUGUCUCCGAAGGAAACGCCGCUUUCUGAUACAGACACAGAAGAUUCCGCACCAGAAAUCGUGAAAAAACUUCCUCAGUUAAUUCCAACCAAAGACGGUGAAUUGACGCGAUUGGAGGUUCGAGUGAAAGGAAAACCCAAGCCUCAAGGAAAGUGGUACAAACAAGGUGUGGAAAUAGUUCCGUCUGAGGAAUUCCAAAUUGAAGAAUUCGACGAUGGAACAUCCGUGUUAACUAUAGCCGAAGCUUAUCCCGAUGAUACCGGAGAAAUAGUUUUCGAGGCACACAAUCCUCUCGGCGUUACAACGACGACCGCUUACCUUUCAGUAGAAGGUAUUCUUGGUACCAAAGAUUACAGGAAACCGGAAUGGGUCACUCACAUGGAAGAAAUGCAAGAGGCAUUACGAGCUUCACAAUCUAUACCACGAUUCAUUCAAGAAAUCACAACCAUUUACGCUAAAGAAGGACAUCCCGCAGAAUUCGAGUGCACGUAUUCGGGAAAUCCUGUACCAGACGUUGUCUGGUACAAGAACGACAAGCUUAUCAGCAACACCGAUAACGUGAAGAUCCGUCUGAAGGAUAAUCUGAAAACCUCGUUGACCAUCAAGAGGGUAACGCGCGAAGACGAUGGAACUUACGUCUGUAAAGCUACCAGCGAUAUCGGUCUCGCCAUCACCAAAGCCAUGCUACGUGUCAGCGAUGGCGAUGGAGCUCCGAUGGAAUUCGAUGAAGAGGAGGUGCCCGAAGAGAAACCGGAAGAAAAGAAGAAGAAACCUGAAAAGAAGAAGAAGCACGACAUCAAAAAGGCCCAUUCGACGAGAGAAAGAAAUAAAACAGAGCGAGUUAAAAUCGAUUCGACAACCGUCGUCGAAGAAACUGGUGUACCAAAAUCACAGCCGGAAGACAAAACGAUCGUCGAUAUUCAGGAGACGCAAAUACUCGAGAGUACUGAAAUGAUCGAAGAGGACACGCGACAGGUAUCCCAGGCGACGAGGAUAAUUCCUAUCCAAGAGCCGGUGUUGACCGAAGCUACCGCAUCUCUGAGAAAGAUUGACGAGAAGCAAAAGAAGAUUCCAACGAGACCGGGUGAUCGGGCGCGCGAGAUAAUCGAAGACCGAGAGGGUGUGGUGAUCUCAGAAGUAACGACCACGGAAACGGUCCAGGAAUUCGUUUCGAAACCGACAGAGGAGAGACCCAGAAGAAAGAAAUCAAAGCUCGACAAAAAACAGACUACCAUCGAAAGGUACGACGUGAGCGAAGUAAGGGUCGAACAAGUUAUCGAGGAACAAAUGGAAGAGAUAGCUAGAGAAGUUGAAGAAUUGAUGGACGUUUUACACGCGACGGAAUUCGGCCCCGGCGAAUCACCCCUCAGAGAACUGGCGACAAUCGGCUAUUUGGUUCGCCAAGGAGUUUCGGUCAAUGAAAUAAACGAGAGUUUGUAUCAGACGGACAAAUUCCCGGCGUUGAGAACACCCGACGCACAAAGUGCGCUGGUCCAGCUGGUAGAACGUGAAGGACACGGGCCUCUGAUUACUCAGGUACUCACGGAGGAAACCACAACCGACGAGAGCAUCGUCGCUGCGACGGUUGGUUUCCGCGCAUUCAUGCGAAUGGUUGAAUUGCAACAUGCCACGGUCGAAGAGGUCAUCACUCACUUCGCCCCCGAAGACUUCCGCACGCACGCUUGGGAGGUAACGGAGGCCUCCGAGGUUAUCUCGGAGCAGCAUUUCACGCACACGGUAGACGUCGUGGAAACACAGAACGUGUAUCAAAGGGAAAGCAGACGUACGGAAGAGAAGAAGGUGGUAAAAAUUCAUGACGUCCAGGAGAUUAAAGAAUACGAGGACACUCAGCAGGCACACACAACACUGCACAAGCGUAAAGAUAAGAAACCGAAGGAACGGGAUCAAUUACAAAUCGAAGACACAACGUCGAAGGAUAGGGAGGAGGGGGUUGAGAUUGUAGAAUUGUACACGGACGAACAGGAGCAGAAUUUACAGAAAGUACAUGAAGAAAAACCGGAAGAAACUCACCGAACGGAAAAAGAUACUCGAAGCAAGCAGACGCGUAGGGUACAGAAAAAUAAACGAGCGGAAAAAGAUGACGCUGACGAAAUCAUCACCGUUGAGACGUCCGAAAAAAUUGUAAAAGCGUUGAAACCGCGACGUCCGAACAUCGGUGAGGAUCAAGUAGAGUUUGAGGAAAUUGACGAACUGGUCGUUGUUACGGACAAGGCACUGCCAAGUCUCGUACUCAACGUUCCCAGUCAACAACACGAGAUAGUAGGUCUGAACAGAACCACUGAACAGGCGGGUGGUAAACCAAAUUCUGAAACGGCGGUGAUUAGCUUAGAUACCGUGAACGCGAUUACGGAACAAUAUGUUCCGACGCAAGAACAAGAGAUCUAUGAGGUCGCUAAAAUUGUGCCGUCCACGCGAAAGGCCUCGGUUUCGAUUUUCGAAUUGGAACCGUAUUCCGUUUAUGAAACCAACGUUCAAACGGCAACGGGUGAACUCGCGGAUGCCGCGAAACCGUUAUCGUAUGAAGCAAAACCGGCUUUCGUCCAUUCGGAAGGUUUGAUCGUAAGUGAAACCGUAGUGGAUACGACUACCAAAGAAUUCUCUGUAAAACCUGAUAGUGGGCGAACUGCGGAAAGUACAUUGACGAUGCUCGAGGCAACGGAAAUUCGCGAGACGACUGUGAACCAAAGUGAAGUACCGACGACUGACUUUGUCCUACCCCAAUCGGCCAAGGCCGAGGAUACGUUCCUCUCGCAGCAAGGUUUGUCCGUUUACGAAGUCAACGAAGGGUUGGCUGAAGACAAACUUGAACCAUUGAAGACCAUGCCCGUUAAACCGAGGGUCAAUAUAUCCUCGUCGGAAUCUCUGAUGAUCGAGGAAGUCCAUGCUGAGGAUAAGCCUGGAAAAUAUUACCCCGAAUUAUUCGUUCCAACGGAAGUGGCAACGGAAACCGUGAUAUCCCAGCAGCAAAGAGUCACCGAAGAAAUGCACGCACCGGAAAAAGAGGGUACCUACACCCCGGGGAGAUUACCACCGAGUCAACAAGCUCGAAUUGCAGUUUCUACCGGCGAAACCGCUGUGACAGAAGAGCAACCGGUUCAGGAAAGUGAGGGUAUUUAUUCGCCAGAUCGACCGGCAGAUUCUUACAACGCUAAACCAAACGUGAGUCUGCUCGAAAGUAUUACCAUUUCAACCACCGAUUCUCAAGAUCAAGAGACCACUCUGACUAUCGAGGAAGAGAAGAACGUCACCGCUGAAGUAAAUCUAGUUGAGCAGGCGUCAGUCGUCACAUCGGAAACGAUAACUUCCGAAAGAGAGAACGAGUUAGUGUCUGACGACAAGCCGGUGGCAAAAUCAGCGGAAGCAACGUUCCUUCCUUUGGAAAUAAGUUCGGUAUCGACGCUGAUGAUACAAGAAUCAGAGGGGGAGUAUAGUCCAGAAAAAAGACCAACAACUGCAUUGGCUGAGACUUCGAUACGCGAAAAAGAGCAUGUCGAAGUAUCAGAGGUACAGGCGGCUGACUUCCCCUCCGAUUUUACCGAUACUUUGAAAUAUGUCACCGAGAACACCGUGACCAUGGUACAUUUCUCCGAAGCUAGAAUGGACGAAGAGACUAUGAUUCAUGAACAGGAGAGCGAUAUGAAAGCGAUAGUAAAACCGGCUGAAUUUAUUGUAGAAUCAUCGUACAAUCCUGUAAAGAGUGUCGAGGUAUUCGAGAACACGUCUGUCGAAAAAGAGGGUGAAUUGAAAGUUCACGAAUUGCCCGAGUCCCACAAAGGUAAGACCGUGACUGAUCAUACGGUGCAGUCCCUUCUCGUAGAGGAAACACAAUCCGAGGAUAAUUUAGGGGAGAUUCCGAUACAUAUCCACGAAACCGGAACAGCUAAAGUUAAUCAGACGAAUUUGAAGGAGACCGUAAUCACUGAUGAAACUAUCGCAGGUGAGGGAGUAGCACCUAUUGCCGAACACAAGACCCCAGACAAAAAAAUCGCCGGAGUAACAUUCGACGAAAUAGUUAGCGUGGAAACUUCAGAAGUUGUAACCAUUGAAAAUGAAGUGGAAAGCUCCAAGCCCUUGGAAAGUAAGGGAGCAUUCGCGAGUACGGAAUUCUCGACACAAAUUGCUGCCACGCAAGAGGAAGUAAGAACAGAGUCACCCACGGGUGAAAUUACUAUUACAUCUCCCGCGAAAGGGAACGCGAUAUUAUCUCAACUCCCUUGGGAAAGCGCGACUGUUGAACUUCAACAACUUGCCGAGAGUGAGGGUGUUUACAACAAAGACGUUAAACCGGAUCAGAAGACCGCAAAUGUAGAACUCUCCGAAGCUAUGUCGGGCGCUAGCGUGACCGAGGUGAUACCUCAGGAUGCGGAAAAUUUGUACGCUCCCGAUUCUAAGCCCCAAGGUUUCACCGCUCAACCCUCUGUGCUUGGGUACACGAUUGCCACAAAAAUGGAGGUAACGGUUGAGCAGAGCACAGAAAAAAUAUCGAGUGAACGACCUGUUGCGAAAAUAGCGAACAAAAACCAGGAAGUCUUCGAUGAACUGAUUGUCACCGAAACCAAUAUUGGAGAAGGAGAAAAGCCAAGGGAUGAAGACGUCAGACCAAUCGCGCAAACAGCUGACGUUAACGUCACAACGAGGGAAAAUGCUACGACUACAGAAGUGCUCUCUCAACUCAAUGAAACUGUUUUACAAGCGGACGAACAUCCCGCAGAACGUAAAGUUAACGUCAAUCUCGUUUCUGGGCACGAAGUCGCUCAGACCGAAGAGACAAUUAUUUCUAGUAGCAUCGAUGAGUUUAAGAAAACUGCAACCAAGCUCGAAAGCGCUACACAAAAACAAGACGGCUUGGAAAUUGUUCAACACACCGAAGUAGCACUCUCUGAAAAAGAGGGACCAUUGUCCGUUGACAGUAGACCACAUUCUAGGCAAGCUGAUGUCACUUUCCAAGAAGGCGAAGGGGUCAAUGUCACCUUGACUCAUCCUGAGGAUAAAGAAGGUACGCUUCCAGAAGACACUCAACCUCGUUCGGCAGAAGCAACAGUUGGCUUCGAAGUUCAAGGAGUGGCGUCUAAAUCCGAGAUCGUAUCUGAUACCGGACUCGUUGAUAUGCUCAGUGAACUCCCGAAAGAUGCUAAGGCAACCAGAACGGUGUUGCCGUACGAAACUAUAAUCGCGGAGCAAGUAGACACGCGCGAAACGGAAGCACCCUUCUCCGAGAUCCUUCCGGCUGACAGAACGGCUAAUCUUGAAUUUGAAUAUGGGGAAGGAUUGGUCGUAACUUCGGUGAUCAGUGAUGACAAUACGAACACUCUUGUGCAUCAAGAAAAGCCGAAAGAUCAAUUGGCUGCCUUUGACAUCACGGGACACACGGUAGCUCAGGUGGCAGAGACAAUCGUGGAAGACCACACGGAUAAGUUUGUGAAAGAAGUGGCGGAGAAGGCAACUGCUAGCUUGGAUCACAUCAAGUUGCACAGUCUGAUUACUUCUGAAACAUCGACGAGUGAGUUGGAACAAGCACUAGCGGAGUUUGUCAAACCGGAUGAAAAAAUACCUACCGUUGAAUUUGAAGAAGGCAUCAGCGUUACGGUGGUGGAAACACUCGCCGAAGACAAGGAGCAGGAGUAUGUGGGACAAAUCAAAAUUGAAGGCCAACAAGCUCAGCCCAAGUAUGAUGCACAUAAAAUUGCAGAGUCAAUUGAAAUCAUACCCGAUACCCACUAUGGUGAUUUGGUAGACAAAAAACCACAACUGGCGUCAGCGAGUGAGCAACACCUUCCGUUUGAAAGCGUGGUCCAAACUGUUGCGGUGGCAUCCGAAAAAGAAACAGAAUUCUUCGAUAAACCAAUAACUGCGUCAAGUUCUGCAAACAUUUCUAUCAAUGAGAUUAAUAAUGUCACCGUUACAGAAGUUGUCGCUGAAGACAAGGAGAGCAUUCUGAACACUUCCGCGAAGCCUGGUGAACGAGUCGCUUCUAUUGCUAAUAUAUCCGGACAUAUGAUCGCCGAAAAAUCUCAAAUCAUUGCCGAUGAUAACACCGGUGAGCUAGAACAUCUGCAAACAAUUACAGCUUCGGCAAUCCGCAGCCAAAUAGAACUGGAAGGUGUAUUGCAGUCAGAAAUACUAACAAAUGAAUUGGAAGCACCCUUGGAUACAGAUAAGAAACCGUUCCAAGCUACUGCUGACGUUAAUCUAGUGGAAGAACAAAGUAUUGUAGUGACGUCUGUCAUUUCGGAUGACAAGGAGGUUCAGUAUUCUCCGAAAGAUCUUCCCGAAACCAAAACAGCAGAGAAGAUUCUAGUCGAUGCUCACAAAGUAGCACAAACAACGGAGCAUGUCGUUGAUUCUAGCGUAGAGGUAUUAUCUGAAGAUCAACCCGUAACUUCAGCUGCUGUACCACAUCAAAUACCAUUCAACACAGUACUUCAGUCACAACCAAUAGUUCAGGACAAAGAAAGUGAACUAUUGCCAGACGCAAAACCUGAGAACAGGAUCGCGAAUGUUAACUAUGAGGUCACCAAGACAUUCGGAGUGUCUGAGGUGACGUUGGGUGAUAAGGAAACGAAUUACGUAUCCGAACCGCAACCGUUCGAUCACGUCGCUCUAUACAACAUCAAUGAAACCCACGAAAUCGCUGAAACUAGUAUUGUGGAGGUUGAAGAUUUCAUUGAAAGCGUUAAGACCCAGAAACCAGAAACAAAAGUUGCCUCGUCCACCCAGGAAGUGUACGAAGGAGUGGUCGUGACCGAAGGUAUCGCACAAGAUCAGGAAAAGCCAUUCACGGGUAAAUUCGUACCGGAAACAAGGGACGUCAAUGUCACUAUAACAGAGGGUAAGCGUGUCUCUACCGUUACUGAGACUUUGGUCGAUGAGAAAGAGACCAAUUUAUUAAACGUCCAAAGACCCAGUGAUCAGUCGGCAAGACGCGAAAUAGUUACAGGUCAUGAGGUUGCUGAGAAUACCGAAGUGAUAACGAAUGUUAGCGUAGGUGAAAUUCCAGACCAUAAAGCAACGUCAGUUAAAGCUCAAGUUGGUCAAAAACCAUUCGAGGCACCGAUAUUAACCGAAGAAGUACUCGGUGAACGAGAAAUUGAAAGAAUUGAGUUGAAACCGCAUACUGGCCAGGCUCAUGUGGCACUGAACGAAGAACAGUCUCUUAUCGUUACAGAGACUGAAACUCAAGAUAUCGAAUCCGAACUGACAACUUCUAUUAAGCCUCGAGAAGAGGUGGCAAAAUAUUCGUACAAGGGUAAAAAAGUUGCAGAACAGUCAGAGAUCAUUCCGCGAGAAGGUAUUGAAAAUAUCUUACCUCUGAAAUCGGUGACAGUCAACGCCAAGCAAGUUCAAACGACACUGGACAGUUUGAAUGUGUCAGAGGCAGUGCCUGAGGAAAUCAGCAAAGAUUUCCAGGGCAAGGUGGUUCCUGACAUCGAGGCGCGUGGCAAUGUCACAUUCGUUGAAGGUCAUAGCAUAUCUGUAACACAAAUCAUUGCUGAUGACAAAGAAGGAAAAGUUGAAACUAGCGAAUACAAGAGCAAUGUUGCUGGUGUUAAUAUCAACCAAUUCGGUAAGGAUGUUGCUCAAAAGACCGAAAUAUUUAUCGAUCAAAAUAUAGGAUUCAUGAAAGAGUUCGACGCCGACAAAGCUGCUGCUAAAUUCACUCAAGAUAUAUUCGAACCGAUUGUUAUUGAAGAAAUCCCUGUAGGAGAAGGUGAACAAUUACUUGACGUUACGAUAAAGGGUGACGCUAAAACGAUAUCACCUUCAUUUGAAGAAGGUCACAGUGUUACUGUGACCGAAACCACGUUCAGUGAAAAGGAAGCUGUUCUUAAGGACGCGGAAGCGAUCGACUCCAAGCAUGCAACAACGACCAUCACGACGGAACAUGGCUCCGUACAGACGACGGUAAUUGAAUCCCAGCUCGAAGUUGAAAAACAAGUAACUAGUCCUGAAAUGAAAACUCAAACAGCGGCUCUUGGACAGGAACCAUUCGAAAGUAUAUCAGUAACUGAGAACUUGGUCGAGGAAAGCGAGAAACCAUUCCAUGGUGCAUUCGUGCCAGAGACUCAAAAAGUCACGAUAGAUGUUCAGUCAGUAAAAUCUUUGCAGAUUUCAGAAAUCGUAACCGAAGAUAAAGAACGUAAUCUGGAUGAAAUUGUGAAUUAUCCAGAAGGUAAAGCACAUCCACAGUUCACUACUUUUGAAAGCGUUCAAAGUUCCGAAAUUGAGACAAUACAGAAUGUCGGCGAGGUUGAUACGACGAAACGCAGAUCGUCACAAGCAACACUAAUCCAGAAUACAUUUGAAUCGAUGAUAAACACAGAAACAACUGUGAUUGAAAGUGAGGAAAUCUUCCGCGAUCAGCCCAGACCUGAACAUCAUCGGGGGAAACCCGAGUUGGAAAGUUUGAGUUCGGUUAACGUCAGUCAUGUACUAACGAAUGAAAUGGAAUCCGAUUUGUCUCAGCCCGAAAUUCCUCAAGCAAAGACAGCCAAGCCCAACCUGUCCGGUAGAGAUGUAGCUCUGACAUCCGAAGUUUUAAUAUCAAUUCAAACAAACGAGUUUGUUAGUCCGGAAAAAAUAGACCAACAGAAGGGCCACCCGGUGAUAGAAGAAUUAACAUCUGUAAACGUCAGUGAAACUGUUUCAAAUGAGACCGAAGAAAUUUUACAAAGUUCUUCAACUGUCAAAAGUCAGACGGCAACUCCCAAUUUAACUGGUAGAGAAGUUGCCGAGACCACUCAGAUUUCAACAUCCAUGAACGCAGAGGACCUAAUCGCGCCCGAAUCAAUGAAAACUGAAAAAGGUACACCGAAAAUGGAAGAACUGACACCAGUGACGGUUCUGAACAUCGUAACGAAUGAAACAGAAGAGACACUUGAUAUUUCCGAGAUUCCGGAUAUGCGAAAAGCAUCGCCCAAUGUUUUAGGUAGAGAAAUAGCGGAGAUAAUACAAGUCGGAACUAUCGAUAGCACAGAAGAUUUCAUAAGACCGACACCAGUUAAAAAUGAGAAGGGAGAGCCACAACUGGAUGAGCUAGCGGCAGUAACGAUUUCGGAAGUGUUCUCCAAUGAGAAUGAAAAUGUUUUCUCAUCCUCAGAAACACCUAUCGGGAGGAAAGCAUUGCCUAAUUUGUGUGGGAGAGAAGUGGCCGAAACAAGCCAAGUCCUUACAAUGGCGAAUACCGAAGAAUUUAUUGAAGAAAAAACACCCAGCCAACAAAGAGGGCAGCCGAAAUUAGAAGAAUUUUCAUCAUUGUCGAUUUCGGAAAUUGUACACAACGAAAGUGAGACUAUCUUCGAAACGGUAGUAAAAACCGAAGAACAGAAGGCUGUCACACUUUUACCAAGUCGCGAAGCUACGCAAACGACUGUUAUUUUAACAUCGGCGGGAACCGAAAAUUUAAUUGAAACACAAAGACCAGAAAGCAGAAGCAUCAUUCCCGAACGGAUUCCGUUUGAGAGUUUGCAACAAAUUCAGCCGAUCUUAGGUGACAGUGAGAGCAGACUAAUCGUCGAUGAACAAAAACCGUUCACCAAAGCAAAUGUGAGCUUUAAAACUGAAGAGAGUAUAAUAGUAACUCAGGUAACAGCGGAUGAGACCGAAUCCGGAGAAGUUAUAAAAGGGGUUGCCAAAGAAGUGAAUGCUACGCCUGAUAUUAUUCGACGAGAGGUUGCAGUGAAAUCUGAAAUUUUACCGGAAACUAUAGUAUCAGAAUUCACUUCGGAAAAACCUUCGCCGAAAAAUGCGAAAACAGUAGAGGAUGAAAAUUAUGGAAUCGUAGUAACCGAGCUACAAUCAACUGGCGAAAUUGAAUCCGAACUGCUAAAAUCCGUAAAACCUUCGGCAAAAACAGUUGUUGUUUCGUUUGAAGCCGAUCAUCUGGAAAAAGUAAUAGGUGAAACUGAACAAAUUCUCAUUGAGGAGAUCCAUGAAAUACCACGAGACAUCAAGGACGAGAAAAUACCAAAAUCUGAUCUACAAAAGGUAGAUAUCAUCGAAAUCACGGAAGUCGCUGUUGAAGAGGCACCAGAGUCAUCGCCGGUCAAAAAACAUACGGAUGAAGAAGAAGAAACUGAAACUGUGGAAACCGAAACGAAGAAAAUAACAAAAACGAAGAAAAAGAAGCCAAGCAAAGAUGUAGGUCCUGAAAAAUGGGUCGAACUCGUGGAUGAGCCGACGAAAAAAUUAAAUAAAAAGGAGAUGGUUUUCGUGAAGGGUGAUGAUAUACCGGAAGAAAUCAUCGAAGAUAUCGUAGUUGAGAAGCCUUCGAAGAAGAACGCGAAACCAAUUGUCGAAGAAUUGGAAACUAUUCAAAUAACAAAAAUAGAUGUGUUCCAGGGACCGAAAGAAGAGCCUGUUGAACAAUCGGUUACCACGGAAGAAGAAAUUAUCGAAAUCGUAGAAACGCCGACAAGAAAAAUAAUCAGACGAAAGAAGAAGCCUACUGAUAAAAUUGUUUCUGACGAUGUUAUCGAAGAAAUCAUCGAAAAACCUAUGGAAGAGGUGAGUAUCAUGGAAGAACAGCAGAUAGUCGAAAUCGUGGAAACACCUACGAGAAAAGUGAUUAAGAAAAAGAAAGCUAUCACUGGCGAAGAUGGGAUACUUCAAGAGGUCGUUGAAGAAAUUGUAAUUGAUAAACUUGAAGAAAGAAAAGCUCAAACUAUAACUGAAACUCGGGAAGGGAUCGAAGUCACAGAGGUCGUCCUCGGAAUAUCUGAACAUGACUUACCUAACGUGGAAAAACCUGUCGAAGAAGUACCAAAAACGGUGCUAGACGAACUAGACAGCGUAAAAAUAACUGAAGUGGCUGUGGCAAAAGCACCAAAGAAGAAGAAGAAGCCAAAGUCUGUCGACAAUGUGCAGACUGAUGAAGUUGCCCAAGCGAUAACUCCUGAGAAACCUGAAGAAGCACUGGCCACUGUAGAUGUUAUUCCCAAGGAUAGUAUUGAGACGACAGAAGUGAUCGUUGAAACGUCUACCGAGGAAUUACCCCUAGAUGAAAAACCAGAUCGAGAAACAGCAGUCUCGGUAGAAGAACAGCCAGUUAAAGUUGAGAUCAGUGAAGUAACUACUAAAAAGCCACCGAAGAAGAAGAAGAAGCAUACGACCACAGAAGAGAUCCAGCCUACAGAAGUUGUCGAGGACAUCACCGUCGAAGAAUCGAAGAUUGAAGAAGCUGUCACCGAUAUCUGUGCUCAGGAAAGCAUCGAGACGACUGAAAUUAUCCUUGGAACGACUACCGCCGAAUUACCAGAAGAAAAAAGACCUGAUGGAAAGAAAGUGGACGUUACUAUGGAGGACGAUCGAGACAUCGCCAAAAUUACCGAAGUACCUCUGAAGAAGGCCCUUCCCAAAAAGAAGAAAUCCAAAGUCACCGAAGAUUUACAACCUGAUGAAGUUGUUGAGGAUAUAACACCGGAUAGACCGAAGGAAGAAAAAGCAUCCGGAGAUAUUCUGUCGAAGGAAAGUAUCGUAAUAACUGAGGUAGUCCCUGAGUCAUCUACACAAGAUUUACCUAAAGACAGAGAACCCGAUCAGGAAACAGCUGUUACAGUCGAAGAUAAGCCAAACGAAGUUGAAGUCACUCAAGUAGCUGUCAAAAAGCCAUCAAAGAAGAAGAAGAAACCGAUAAUCUCUGAAGCAGUUCAGCCUGACGAGGUUGUCGAUGAAAUGCUCUCGGAAGUAUCGAAGACAGAUAAGGCUCUCGAAGAAAUCAUCUCCCAAGAGAGUAUCGAAACUACUGAAAUAAUUCUUGGUAGAUCUGCCGAGGGAUUACCAGAGGACAAACAACCAGACCAACAAACUGCUAUUCCGGUGAAAGACGAGCUAGAUAAAGCUACUGUUACUGAAGUCACUGCAAAGAAGGCUCCCAAGAAAAAGAAGAAACACACGACAACAGAAGACGUGCAACCCACCGAGGUUGUCGAAGAAUUAGUUACCGAAGAAUCAAAUACAGAAAAAGCUACCAAAGAUAUACUUACCCAAGAAAGCAUCGAAGCUACUGAAGUAAUUCUUGCAAUAUCUGCGCAGGAAUUACCCGAAGAAAAGACAUUCGACGUGGAAGCCGCUACGCCAGUAGAUGAAGAAACACAAAACAUCAAGAUAACGGAGGUAACCGUGAAAAAGGCACCGCAAAAGAAGAAAAAAUCGAAAACUGUCGACGAGGUACAUCCUGAUGAAAUUGUCGAAACAAUAACAUCUGAUAAGCCUGAAGGACAACAGGCAACGGAAGAUGUGGUCGUUGAAGAGAGCAUCGGGACAACAGAAGUGAUUCUUGGAUCAUCUACCGAGGUGUUACCGGAAGACGGAAAACCAGAUCUCGGAAUAGCUGUACCGGUGAAAGACCAACUAGAUAAAGUUGAUACUACUGAAGUGACUGUAAAGAAAGCUCCCAAGAAGAAGAAGAAAUCAAAGACUGUCGACGAUGUGCAGCCCGAAGAGGUAACCCAAGCAAUAACCCCGGAGAAACCUCAAGAAGCCCAGGCAACUGAAGAUGUUAUUCCUAAGGAAAGUAUUGAGACAACAGAGGUGAUCGUUGGCACGUCUACCGAGGAAUUACCCCAAGAUGAAAAACCAGAUCAAGAAACAGCAGUCUUGGUAGAAGAACGGCCGAGUAAAGUGGAGAUCAAUGAAAUAACUACCAAAAAGGCACCGAAGAAGAAGAAGAAGCAUACGAUCACAGAAGAGAUGCAACCCACUGAGACUGUGGAAGAAAUAACAAUCGCAGAAUCAAAAACAGAGGAAGCUGUUACAGACAUCCUUCCCCAUGAAAGCGUCGAAGCAACGGAAGUAGUGCUGGAGACAUCUACUGCUGAGUUACCCGCGGAUAAAAUACCUGACCAGCAAGCUAAAAUGACGGUACAGGAACGAGAUACUGCGAAAAUUCCGAAAAAGACUCGCCAAACGACCAACACAUCAAGAGUUACUGAAGAUUUGCCACUUGAAGAGGUUGCGGAGGAUAUAACUUCUGAUAAACCGAGGGAGGAGAAAGUUAUCGAAAAUAUUUUGCCGAAAGAAAGCGUCGAAACAUCCGAGGUGAUACUUGGAUCGUCAACUCAAGACUUGCCCGAAGAUAGAAAGCCCGAUUCAGGAGAAGCGGUUCGCGUAGAAGAUAAGCCAGAUGAUAUUAAGAUCACUGAAGUGGACGUUAAGAAGCCGUCCAAAUCCAAAAAGAAGCCAACUUCCGAAAAAGUACAGCCUGAUGAAGUUGUAAGUGAAAUACCCGACGAAACAUCUGCGGCGGAUAAAGCCAUUGCAAAUGUCAUUCCACAAGAAAGUGUCGAAACGACUGAGGUCAUUCUUGGAACAUCUACCCAGGAAUUACCUGUCGACAAACAACCAGACGAAGAAACAGCCAUCCUUGUGAAAGAUCAGCCAGAAAAGGCCGACGUCAGUGAAGUGAAAACCAAGAAGGCGCCAAAGAAGAAAAACGAAUCGAAAACUGUCGAAGAUGAACAGCCCGAUGAAAUUGUCCAAGUGAUAACAACUGAACAACCUGAAGAAAUACAGGCAACUGAGAGCAUUCUUCCACAUGAGAGUAUGGAAACAACUGAGGUCAUCCCUGUAUCAUUUACGGAAGAAUUGUCUGAUGAUAAGAAACCUAAUCAGGAGGAAGCUGUUCCGGUGGAAGACGUACUGGAGCAUGUAAAGACCACCGACGUGAAGAUAAAAAGAGCACCUCAGAAGAAGAAGAAGGCUAUCACUUCUGAAGAGAAAGAGACCGACGAAGUUCUAGAAAAAUUAAUCCCUGACGUGCCCGAUCAAGCAAAAGCAACGGAAGAAGUUCUUUAUCAAGAAAGUAUCGAUGCGACUGAAGUAGUCAUCGGAGCUUCUACAGAAGAAUUACCUAAAGAUGAGAAACCUGGUAUGGAGAUUGCUAAAACGUUGGAAGACAAACCAGAAACAAUUCAGAUUACCGAACCGAGCGUUAAGAAAGCACCUCAAAAGAAGAAAAAACCUAAAUCUGUCGAGUUGACCGAGCCACUCGAAGAUACUAAAGAUAUGGUGCCUGAAAAACCAAAAUCAGAGAACGCCACUAUGGAUAUUUCACCCAAACAAAGUAUCGAGGUAUCUGAGAUCAUUCUUGAUUCAACGGUAGAAAAAACACCUGAGGAUAAAAAACCUAAUGAAGAAGUUGCUAUACCAUUGGAAGAACAGUUGAACGAAGUCGUUGUUAGUGAAGUUACUGUGAAAAAAGUACCCAAAAAGGAACUCUCACACAGUGAAACUGAUGAAACUAAACAAGAACUGGUUCCGAACACUGAACAAGAACAAAAACCUGAGGAAACAGUCACUGUUGAGCAGACUGAAAAAAUACCCACAAAGAAAAUAGUUAAAAAGAAAGUAAAGAAAACAAUCCCUAAAAAAGAAGAAAUUGAAUGGGUGGAACCGGAGCCAUAUGAAAGACCCAUCCUCGAACCGAUGCCGGAGAAAAUUGAAUGGCAACCUACUAAGAAAAAAGAGAAAAAGGGGUUGCCAUCAAAGUUACAAAAAUUGGUGCCACAGAAAAUUGAACGAACAGAAGCAAAACAACCGACCAAACUGAGAUUUUCACAACCUAAUGAAGAGCAGCCUCAAUUCGCUACUAUUAAAUUGAAAAAGGCAACGGUUGUCCAGAAGAAGGAAGUAAAAAGCGUUGAACUUCCAAAGGUACUACUUCGUAGUCGCAUCCUCUUUGUAGGUGAUUAUCCACCAGAAUUACAAAAACCGAAGAUCGAAGAAUUUGAAAUCAAUCCCGUCCAGUGUGGAAUCUUAUCCAGGAAUACAAAAGAAGCACUCAAGGUCUUAAAAACCAAACAUAAAAAGCUUAGGUUUGCAGACAAGGAAGAAGUGGAUCUGGAAAAGUUGGAUAAAGAAUUUGAAGAACUGAAAAAGGUACCGUUGGAGGAGAUUGAAGAUAAAUCCAUCUACGAACGGCAACCAAAGAAGCCAAAGGAACUACCAAAAGAACCUCAACCACUCAAAGUUGGUAAAGGUAAGGUUUUACAACCAGAGGACGAAACACCUGAAGAAAUUAAAUUAAAGAAAAUACCAGAGAAGAAAACUGAAGAUGUUGAAGAACUGCAGAAAAAGCCGACUAAAAAAGAAGAAACCGAAGAUGUUUCUGGCAAGAAGAAAACUGAGCCAUUACCAGCGUUGAAGACUGAACCAUUCCAACCGCUUGACUUUGAACAGCCGGAAAUCGAAAAAUACGUCCCCGAAAAGCUUGAACAUCCUGAAAAGCCUGCACCUGAACUCGAACAAAAACGACCGGAAAAGCCGAAGAAGAAGAAACCAGAACAAGAUAUAGAACAAAUUUUACCAGUGAAGGGAAAACCAAAAGAGGAUGAACCGGAAGAACAGCCUGAAGUUAAAUUUAGAAUACCAUCUUCUAAGAAGCCUGAAGAAGAACCAGAAACUAUUACAUUAAAAGGAUGGAAAAAAGACAAGCCUACGGAUGAGGGCGAGAAGGAGCAUCCGGCUGAGUUGAACCUAGGAGAAAUGCCUUCGCAGAGACAGCCGGAAGAAGUUCCUGAGAAAAUAGUUGUGAAGAAGAAAUCAAAGAAGAAGCCUGUCGAAGAAGAAGUGACGAUCAAGAAGCCUGUCCCUGCAGGAGAAAAGACAGAAGAACCGGAGGAAGUCUCGCAGGAAGUCGUUCUGAAAAAGAAACCAAAGAAGAAGCCUGUCGAAGAAGAGACCAGCGAUGAGGUGACGAUCAAAAAGCCUGUCCCUGCAGAAGAAAAGAAAGAAGAACCGGAAGAAGUCUCGCAGGAAGUCGUUCUGAAAAAGAAACCAAAGAAGAAGCCUGUCGAAGAAGAAGCUAGUGACGAAAUAACUAUCAAAAAGCCUGUCAUUGAAGACAUAUCCGAAGAGUUCACAAUUAAGAAGAAAUCCCAUAGAAAAGACUCAGCUGUGGUAGAAGUAGAAGAUACUCAAGUCACAAUAAAAAGAUCUCCGAAAUCUUCUCAACCUGACGAAGAAGAGGUCUCUGGUGACAUAAUUAUCAAAAGAAAAACUACGAAAAAAACAUCCGACGAAGCGGCUGACACACUAACGAUAGAAAAACAUGAAGAACCUGAGGACGUCCAAGCUGAUGAAGAAAUCGUUGAAGAAUUCACGAUCAAAAGAAAACCACCUAAAAAGAUGCCAAAACCAAUUGAAGAAAUCUACGAAGACGUCACUCUUCGUAAACUUCGACCGAAGCGAAAGCCAAGACCAGACGUAAGAGAGGUCACUGAAGUGGAGAAUGUUACUUUCCGACCUAGAUCAACAAAGACUAAAGAAGAUGUUGAACAAGAGUUCAAGAUCUCUUUGAAUACCUACGAGGAAGAAGACAUCACGAUGUCGGGUAAGGUUCGACUGAAACCAAAGCAACGCCCAUUGACAUAUUCUGAAGAAACAGGCGAGGAAACUAUCAGAAUUAUGCAAGAAGUCGAGGACGGAGGCGGGCCGAUCAUCGAAGAGAUUAUCGACGAUAGCGAUGAAGACGUGAAGGAUGAGUACAGCGUAGAGGAACUCGAAGUAGACGAGUUCAAUUUACCACUAAGACGAAAGAUAAAGAAGAAGCCCCGACCUUAUUCGGUUGAAGAAAUUGAAGAGGAUGAUGUGAACAUAAAAUUACAGCGAGACCGAAAGUAUUCUUAUGAAGAAACAGACGAGUCAUUGGCGAUGAAGUUGAAACCGAAGAGACGCAUGUCCACCUAUGACGAAGAGGAAGCUACGCUCAGCAUUACCAAAGAAGGGGACAUAUCGGAAGAAGAUGAAUCAGAAUACGUUGUUCGCGAUGGUGACAUGAUGUUCUCGAUAUGCUCAUACGUUGCGGAGACCGACGAAGCCAUCAAUUUGGUCGAAGGAGAAAAAGUUUACAUUAUUGAGCAUACGAAUUCUGACUGGUGGUUUGUCAAGAAACAUUUGACCGAAGAAAAGGGUUGGGUACCAGCUCAAUAUCUCUUGGACAGACCGCACUAUACGAUUUAUCUUCAGAAAAAGCUACACGAGAAAAUCGACAAGUUACCCGUGUUUGAAAAACCUGGUCCCGGAGAGAAAGCAUCGGCUCCACGGUUCAUAGAAAAAUUGCAACCAAAACAUACACCAGAUGGUUACACCGUUCAAUUCGAAUGUCAAGUGGAGGGUAAACCUCGACCACAAAUCACAUGGUUCCGUCAAACAGCGAUAAUAAAACCAUCACCAGACUUCCAGAUUUAUUACGACGACGACAAUGUCGCGACCCUGAUAAUUCGUGAAGUUUUCCCCGAAGAUGCAGGAACCUUUACUUGCGUCGCCAAAAAUGCAGCAGGAUUCGCAUCGAGCACUACCGAACUAACGGUCGAAGCACCUCUGUCUGAUCACGGCUCAGACAUGACAGGACUUUCGAGAAAGAGUCUCUCAAGGGAAUCAUCGCUUGCAGACAUUUUGGAAGGAAUCCCGCCGACCUUUUCUCGAAAACCGAAAGCGAAAUGCGUCAACGUCGAUGAGGAUGUAAUUCUUGAAUGCCGCCUCGUAGCCGUUCCAGAACCAGAAAUCACUUGGUAUUACGAAGGAACGCAGAUAACGUCCAGAGAAAAUGUAAUCGUCGUAACGGAAAGCGACAUGCAUAUGUACUGCAGUGUCAUGAAGAUCACUAAAGUGAAGAAAACUCAAGAAGGACGUUAUAAGAUCGUCGCUAAAAACAGAGAGGGUGAAGCUACCAUCGAAAUACCUCUGAAGGUACGAACGGGCGGAAAAGAACCACCAGAAAUUUUGGAACCAUUGAAACCCUACGUAAUUCGUGAGGGUGAGACGGUGGUAUUGUCAACGCAAAUCAUUGGUACUCCGAUGCCAGAAAUCACCUGGUUUAAGGAUGGAAAGCCGUUGAAGGGAGCGUCCCCGAAACGGGACGGUGAUAACAACACCCUUACAUUGAUUCAGCCAGUUGUAUCUGACACUGGAGAAUAUUCGGUCGUUGCCACUAACGAAAAAGGCAAAGCCGAAACCCGAGCGACUCUCAUAGUCGAAGCUCUGCAGAUCUGAAACCCACGCCUGUCCCAGAAAUGAUCCCGCAACAACAAAAUGAGAAAGAGCAACAUUUAUCGUACAAGGAAACUCCAAGCGGUGCUCCGGAACCACCAUUGUUCACGGAACGGUUCCAAGAACAAACCGUACCUGAAAAGGGCUCGGUAAAAUUAACAG